rnacentral:misc_RNA from 1 species
GAUGAAAACGUAGCGAAAUGCGAUACUUGGUGUGAAUUGCAGAAUCCCGCGAAUCAUCGAGUUUUUGAACGCAAGUUGCGCCCGAAGCCAUUCGGCCGAGGGCACGUCUGCCUGGGUGUCACGCAUCGUUGCCCCCCCAAACUCCGGUUUGGGCGGGGCGGAAGUUGGCCUCCCGUGCGUGCCUGCGCGCGCGGUUAGCCCAAAAGCGAGUCCUCGGCGACGAGCGCCACGACAAUCGGUGGUUUUUUUACCCUCGUUCCUCGUCGUGCGUGUCCCGUCGCCCGAACGCGCUCUUGUGACCCUCACGCGUCGCCUCAGUGGCGCUCCCAACGCGACCCCAGGUCAGGCGGGACUACCCGCUGAGUUUAAGCAUAUCAAUAAGCGGAGGA